rnacentral:rRNA from 1 species
GAUGAACGCUGUCUACAGGCUUAACACAUGCAAGUCGAGGGGAAACGACGGGGAAGCUUGCUUCCCCGGGCGUCGACCGGCGCACGGGUGAGUAACGCGUAUCCAACCUGCCUCUGACUGAGGGAUAACCCGUCGAAAGUCGGCCUAAUACCUCAUGGCAUCGUCUGCGGGCAUCCAACGACGAUUAAAGAUUUCAUCGGUCAGGGAUGGGGAUGCGUCUGAUUAGCUUGUUGGCGGGGUAACGGCCCACCAAGGCUACGAUCAGUAGGGGUCCUGAGAGGAAGGUCCCCCACAUUGGAACUGAGACACGGUCCAAACUCCUACGGGAGGCAGCAGUGAGGAAUAUUGGUCAAUGGGCGGGAGCCUGAACCAGCCAAGUAGCGUGCAGGAUGACGGCCCUAUGGGUUGUAAACUGCUUUUAUGCGGGGAUAAAGUGAGGGACGUGUCCUUCAUUGCAGGUACCGCAUGAAUAAGGACCGGCUAAUUCCGUG